UUCAUACAAUAUAUAAAAUAAAAUAAUAUUUAUAAUCAAAAAAAUAUCAAACAAAACAUGUCAAUCAAAAUAUAUAACAAAAUAGAAUUCAUCACACGAAACAUAUUUUAAUUCUCACUCUUAUAACCUAAUUCUUAUUCUUAUUUUAAAUCAAACUUACACUCGAAAUAUUACGUCUAAAGUUUCAUCGUGCGAUAUCGUUUAUAUCGUUAUCAAAGAGAGACGAAAUUGAUCCCCCAAUCGCAUGGAUAGCACACAUAUAAAUUUCACAAUGAUCACAGUAGUUACGUUUGUUAGAUGACUCAUACUCACAAAUACAUAUUCAUGUUUGGACUAAAUUUUAAACUCUAUCCAUGUGUAGGUUCACCAUCAUAUUUGAUCGCCACCUUACAUUUUUCUUUCUUAAUUUAAUUUAAUUUUUUUGGUCUUUCUUUUUUUUCUUUUCUUCUCUUUCUCUUUCUCUUUUCUUUUUUUUUUUUUUCUUUCCUUCUUUCUUUUUCUUUUCUUCUUCCCCUUCUUCCCCCCUUUCCGUCGCGUCUCACCUCUUUGACUGCCGCUAACUCCUCCUCACGUGGCCAAGGCUCCUCCCCUUACUCUACUCUCUAGGCCCCGAUCCUCACUCAGCUCGGCUUCCUCUCUCACCCACUCGAACUCAGCUCUCUUCCUCUCUUUCUUUUUUCUCUUUUUUUUUUUUUUUUUUUUUUACUUCUGCUAUUUCAUUAUAUAUAUAUAUUUCCACUUGGUUUGUUUUCCUUCUCUCUACAUUCUUUUUUUUUUCCUAAUUAAUUAAUAUAUUAUAUAUAUAUAUAUAUAUAUUUUUUGUAUCCAGCUGGGUAUUACAUUUUUAAUUAAUGUAAUUCAAUGAAUAUAAAUAUAUUUACAACAUACAAUUAAUUUUAUUAUUUAUAUACGUACAUGAAAAAAUGAAAUUGGCAUGGAGGUGCAUAUUUAUGCUCAUAGCUAUGCUAGUUAGAGUAAAACUUUUAUAGUUUCUCAAUAUAAUUAAUGAAAAACAACAUGCAUAUAUAUACACACACACACACACACAUGGAAUUCAAUAUAUCAAUG
rnacentral:lncRNA from 1 species